rnacentral:tRNA from 1 species
AUUAAAUUAGCAGAAAAUAAUGUAUCUGACUUAGGAUCAGAAGGUGUAGUAUAUUACAUUUAAUA